rnacentral:rRNA from 1 species
UACGUAGGUGGCAAGCGUUGUCCGGAUUUACUGGGCGUAAAGGAUGCGUAGGCGGACAUUUAAGUCAGAUGUGAAAUACCCGAGCUUAACUUGGGUGCUGCAUUUGAAACUGGGUGUCUAGAGUGCAGGAGAGGUAAGUGGAAUUCCUAGUGUAGCGGUGAAAUGCGUAGAGAUUAGGAAGAACACCAGUGGCGAAGGCGACUUACUGGACUGUAACUGACGCUGAGGCAUGAAGCGUGGGGAGCAAACAGG